UCCGGUUGAUCCUGCCGGACCCGACCGCUAUCGGGGUAGGGCUAAGCCAUGGGAGGCGAACGCCCAGCCGCCGCUGGGCGUGCCGAACGGCUGAGUAGCACGUGGCUAACCUACCCUCGGGACGGGGAUAACCCCGGGAAACUGGGGCUAAUCCCCGAUAGGCGGGGAGGCCUGGAACGGUUCUCCGCCGAAAGGGGCCACGGGGGUUCGCCCGUGGUACCGCCCGAGGAUGGGGCUGCGCCCCAUCAGGGUAGUUGGCGGGGUAAUGGCCCGCCAAGCCGACGACGGGUAGGGGCCGUGAGAGCGGGAGCCCCCAGAUGGGCACUGAGACAAGGGCCCAGGCCCUACGGGGCGCACCAGGCGCGAAAACUCCGCAAUGCGGGCAACCGUGACGGGGCUACCCCGAGUGCCCCCUUAGAGGGGGCUUUUCCCCGCUGUAGGUAGGCGGGGGAAUAAGCGGGGGGCAAGACUGGUGUCAGCCGCCGCGGUAAUACCAGCCCCGCGAGUGGUCGGGGUGCUUACUGGGCCUAAAGCGCCCGUAGCCGGCUCGACAAGUCCCCUCACAAAGCCCCGGGCUCAACCCGGGGACCUGAGGGGAUACUGUCGGGCUAGGGGGCGGGAGAGGCCGAGGGUACUCCCGGGGUAGGGGCGAAAUCCAUUAAUCCCGGGAGGACCACCUGUGGCGAAGGCGCUCGGCUG
rnacentral:rRNA from 1 species